rnacentral:SRP_RNA from 1 species
GCUGGGCAUGGUGGCGCGUGCCUGUAAUCCCAGCUACUCGGGAGGCUGUGGCAGGAGAAUUGCUUGAACCCGGGAGGCGGAGGUUGCAGUGAGCCAAGAUCGCACCACUGCACUCCAGCCUGGUGACAGAGUGAGACUCCGUCUCAAAAAAAAAAAAAAAAGAGUCUUGCUCUGUCACCCAGGCUGGAGUGUAGUGGUGCGAACAUGGCUACAGUCAGCCUUGACCCCCUGGGCUCAAGCAAUCCUCCCACCU